AUCCUAGCGAUCUCUUCUGAGCAUGAAUCACUUGGCACCGUCAAUGUUUUCCAUCUGUUUUUAAAACCCGAACUCCUUCCUGUUAGGGUGAACUACCCCUAAUCUCUCCUGCUUAGACAUGUUUUCUGAAAUAUGUAUUGUUAUAAGCCUUUUCCCCUAGCUUGGGGCAGACGGCCGGCACCUGCAGAAGCAAGCCCAUCUUGCCUGCUGAACUAUGACUCCAUGAAGGCAAAGAUUUUUAUCUUCUUGUUCAUGGUUUUGUCCCUCCUAGCAUACAAUAGGCACCCAGUAAAGAUUUUUAAUUAAUUAAA